UCUCUCUCUCUCUCUCCCUCUCUCUCUUUCUCUUUCUCUCUCGGGCGUUUCAUCUUCCGUUUCCUCUCUCUCUCACAGCUUUCAUCUUCUUGUUUGAUUUAUGUUUGUAUUUUGUUCUUCUUUUAAUGUUUUGGAGUUUCGUUUGCAUCACUCAUCUAUUCCGUUUAUUUGGGUUUUUUUUUUUUGUGCGUUUAGAUCUAGAUUGUUCUUUAGAGUAUAAUCUAAAACUGUUUAUUUGGUAUAUUUUUUGUUGUUUUUUCAUACUUUCAGAUGAACAUUAUUUUUUACGAUUUUUCAUUUCUUUUUUUCCUUUUAGAUCUGAACAUAUUUGUUUUUGUUUGAUUUUUUUUGUCGUGUUUUGUUCUUGUUUUUGUCUCGUUUUAUCUUGUUCUUAUUGUCUCCAAUUUUGUUGUUUGAAGUUUGAAAUUUUGAGAUCUGUACAACAACUAUUUGGUUUUUCACUUAUUUGGUUUUUCGGUUUUUUUUUUUUAAUUUUUUUAUCUGAUCGAAAUUUUUGGUUUGUUAUUUGGAUCUGUGAGUUUCUCGGUUGAAUCUAUUGUUUGUUGGGUGUCCCUCACAUCGCCGCUCACAUCCGCAGCAAAUGGCCACUCGUGGGAGCGCACGGCCACGCCGGAAGCACACAACAACAAAGCAGAAGAUGAAAUUUCAGAAGAUUGAAUUUGUAUAUGAUGCGUUAAAUUUUUUUGUUCGGUGUACUCUCUGUAAAUAAAGAUGUAAAUAUGCAAACAUAGUUUUUUUCUUUC